rnacentral:lncRNA from 1 species
UAACCAUCUUUGCACCUAGCGAUAACGCAUUUUCAAGUCUCAAAUCAGGCACCCUCAACUCCCUAAGCGAUCAAGAAAAGGCUGAGCUAGUACAGUUUCACAUUAUACCACAAUUUCUAUCAAGUUCCCAGUUCCAGACUGUGAGCAACCCUCUGACCACACAAGCAGGAUCAGGUGGCAGGUUAGAGCUUAAUGUAACCACCACAGGAAACUCUGUGAAUAUAACCACAGGGCUUACAAAUACAAGCGUAUCCGGCACUAUCUACACUGAUAACCAGUUAGCUGUUUAUCAGGUUGACAAGGUGCUUCUUCCUCUUGAUAUCUUUACACCUAAACCUCCUACUCCAGCACCAGCACCUGAAAAGCCAAAGAAGAGAUCCAAAGCUGCAGCGAGUCCAGAAUCUCCUGCGGAUACUUCUGGGGCAGUAAGCUUUACUGUUCUGAACAAUGUUGUGUUCUUUGGAGUUUGCAUGGUUGCAGCAAUAUAUUCUUUGUGACACAGAAGGUUUUGAUGAGGUUAUUGCAUGGAUUGCUCU